AAAAUGUCCACAGACCAGAAAAACAACAGCAUCAGUCAUUUGUUUUUGUCCCUUAUUUUUUCAAAGUGAUCUGUGUUAACAUUUUCUUUACUUGUCAGCUUUAAACGAUGAAUCCUCUGUAACUCUGAACAAACCAGCGUCAACUUCAUCAAACUUUAACCAGAAAUGUCUCCGAAAACAUCAGAACAUUUUUAACAGUUUAUGAACAGUGUUGUCUCCUCUGUGGAGAUGACAGAAGACAAAGACACACAAACUAAACUACUCUCUGUUUUCUCCAUCAGGGGAAACAUCUAUACAACCACACUUUGGUAAGUACCUGCACAGGUGUUUCCAGUCACUCUCAGUCCUGAUUAAACCUCAGCUCACAGCUCUUCAUCCACAGACUCAGGAAGAUGAAGAAACUGAAUCUCUUCAGGUGUGAUUAUAUGGUGACAAAGUGAAAAAAUGACUGAUUAGCCCUUUAAAACGUCAUCUCUGAGAGUCUGUGUUCAGAGCCAAGAUAAAACCAAAGCUUCAGAGUUUCUGAUUCAUUUCACUUCAACCUGCACAGCUUCAUUAUUAACGUCAGGGGAUUUUGUUUUUUAAAGGCGGCUCGGUCCGUCUGAGAGUCCAGACUGGACCUGGAGGACGGUGUUAACAUCAGAGAGAAACUCCUGACAAACGGCUUCACACCUUUUCAUCGAGUCUGUGUGGAGGUAAAGUACCUGCAGACAGCUGAAAACAUGGACGCCUCUGGUUCCUGUCUUUGCUCAAUGGACUCCUCUGUUCCUCUGGAAAUAAAGGAUGAGAGGUUACAGACUGUCCACCCUGCACUCCAUCAUCCUCUCAACACUGGAACAGAUAGAAAACACACGGACACACUGGAAGUAUUCAGUAUCUCUGAGUCCUCAUUUUUAUUUGAACGAUCGAACAUCGACUCUUAACUUUUCAUCUUUUCUCAGUGAAUAUUUACAUCUGUAACUCAGUGUCGCAGCAGUUUGUGAAAUGGUUCUGAAAUUGAUUCUGUUGAUUCGUGUUCGUGGACAUUUUUAGUGACACUCGGCACAACUCUCAAACUCCGAGUCUGAAGGAGACAGGAGACAAAGUAUGGUCACACCAGAAACCAGGUUCGUGUCCAGAGUCCUGUCUGUGUAUCUUUUACUCGCACUGUAACACGUACAGCCCAUGUUCGCGUCGUCUCCGUGACUUCUUCCUAUGUUUUCUUUUCUCUACAUGAAUUUUCUGAUUAAAAAAAGUCCACGAACCACCAUCUUCGGUUCCUCCUGCUCGUCGCCCACCAUGUUUGUUUCCUCUGACGUGGUCAGAUGUGGAGUUGUGAGAGUCCUGCACAUCACACACGAUAAAAAUCUUUUCUUGUGAGCCAGGCUUGUGUCUGAAGUCACCGUGACCAGGAUCUUUCCUUGUACCUGAACCACGAGCUGUGAGUGAGUCUCACGAAAUGAUUUUAUGACAGACAUUUACAGCUUGAGAAAUAGUCCCAACAUUUAUUUUAUUGGUUCAUUUAUUCUUCAUGAGGAGGAAUUGUUCAUUUUUUCGUGACAGUAAAAUAUCCACUUGUAGUGAUGAGUUGUCACCAUGAGGACGGAGGUUUAGGGUGCAGCCUUCAGAGACUUCUCCGCCCACACAUCAUUUGUAUGGUUCUGUUAAACAAAUCUUGAACAUAUUUAAUUGAAGACUUCAUGAUGAACAACGCAGUUUGGCUGCAGGACAAACUGUUUAACUCUUUGCCAGUGUGGUCAGAAAAUAACAUCUAAAGUCGUGACACAGAUGAAGUGACAUUCAGCAGCAACACGUCGUCUCUGCUCCCAGAAAUAACAAAUCUUUGUGUUUUACUGUUUGUUUUGGGGCGACGUGUUUCGAGUUAUAUCCACUGGUUAUCAACAGGAGGAAAAUCUGGGAUAAAUCACUGCCUUUAAAAACCGCUUAAUCAAACGAAUGAAUGAAAAUGCAGCAUGAACUGUGUUUCCAGCAGAGGACGUCACACUGGCAGGAAAACAUGACUGAUAACUGAUAUUUGUUAAACAGCCAGUGUCAGUCUGAAGUUUUGGUCUCAAACCAGGAAAAACUCAUCGAUCUCACAGCUGCUGAUUGAUCCUGACUGAUUUCAUGACACUCUGAUCAUUUCUGCCAUCACGAAGCAGGUCAGAGAUUUACGCAGCAGCUGAUAUUGGAUCAGCAGUCCUGCUGGAUCUGCGUCUACCCCCUCAGGUUCAUUCGGUCAGGGUGAAUGAUGAACACCUCGGCAGCAGGAAACAAACCAUUCAUCGUGCGGAGAUCCCGUAAAACACAUCCAGUGACAGGAAGUGGGAGGAUCUGCUGCAGGUAUUUAAACUGUAGGAGCUUUGUCUGUGUGUGAGUCUGAGAACGUGAAGAAAAUCAUUUGAGGAAGGUGUUUACUUCAGGUAGACGAGUGAGAUGGAGUUUUCUCAGGCCUGCAGCCCGCACACGAUUCAGGACGGAAAACACCUCCAGUCUAAAACCAUUUAUCACACAAGGAACAGAAUUUAAAUAAUAAAGCGUAGAUUUUCUUUCAAAGUUCAACAGUAAAGUAGCAGAUUUCCCUUAAAAACACACUAAUAAAUAAAACUACGUGUUGUGGUCUUCAGUUCAAUUUAAACUCAAAUAGAGAAAGUCUCCAGGUUCACAGCUGUUUCCACUGAUGAGCUCCUCUCCUCUGACUGAAGGGGAGUUAAUCAGUGGAUUCAGCUCACCUGUGGCUGCAGCAAAACCCUGCAGAUCCUCAGAGCAACAAAGACAAAGGGAUAAUAAUCUGAACAGGAUUCAAACUCAGCUCCAAGCAACAACUCUAAGAUGAUUCUGUUUUGGCAGCUCAUCCAUGUAAAAGUAUUUUUCUGGGCUCAGUGAUGACACAGUUAACAAAACAAGACAUUUACCAUAAGGUGCAAAAGGACGAUGCCAAGUGUCAAAACUUCAUGGACUCUUGAGAUGGAGUGGUGGUGGUAAAUGAGCAUUGAAACUGUACUAAUGUUUUGCUCUUUGACCAAAACUUUGCUCCAUGACAACGUAUCACAUAUUAAUGAAAUUCAAAGUGGACAUUCCUGUUUCUCAGAGGAUGAACUUCUAUGACCGGUCCUCUAGCGCCACCAUCAGGACAAACUGUUUAACUACAGUGGAAAUCAGGAUCAGGCUUCAGAUUUUAUCUGCUGAGUUACAUUCAGUCUUCCUGGAAUCUGGACUCUGGUCUAAAUGUUCUCCUGUAGUUUUCUCUGACUCUUAUCUGCCCUCAUCAGUCUCUUUGUUAUAAACCCUUCACUCAUGUUCCCGUCUUCAUACGACUCGUUCGCACUACGUGUCCCACGAUGACAUGUUGUCAGGAGUCAGCAGAGUCUCAGCAUCCUGGAGCCCGAGUCUGGGAGUCUGAGCCUCUCCCUGCUCACAAUCAAAACAAGGAAGAGGAGCUUUCAGCGCACGGCUCCACACCCAGAGAGAGUAACCCGAGCUGGGGUGGAUCACACACACGGCGUCCUGGAGCCUGGAGGACGGGUGGAAGAGUGAACACCGUGUUUCCUUACAAGUCUGCGGAGGAAAGCACACACAGAUAAGAAGAGAGUAAAUCUACUGGGUGAUAAAGUGGGCGGCACUGGAAGGCAGAAAGACGCCAGGUGAACUGCAUGGAGUCUACAUGUUCUCCCUGCUUGGGUUCAGCUUCCUCCCACAGUCCAAACACAUGCAGAUACGAUGACUUGUCGUCUCAGCAUCUCACAGUCCUGAGACGACCAGCACCAGAGUUCACCAGAGUUCACCAGACUUCACCAGGGUUCACCAGGUUCACCAUCGUCCAUCGUCCGGACAGUCUGACUGAUCGUCGUGUUAAAUUUAGAGAUUUAUGUGUUUAAAGGAAUCUGAGAACUAAACACAAACAGACACUUGUGGGAUUUAAAUACUAAACUCACUCAUUCAUAAUUUUCUCUUUCUUAUAAAGACUCUAAAUGUGAGGGAAAAGAAAGGGAAAUAUUAUGCGAUUAGAAAUGAAAUAACUUAAAUACACAACAGGAGCCACAUCAGAGGUUUUAAAAAAGUCAAACUUCAGUGAUAAAUAACUAUUUUAACUGAUCAGUUAAUAAUCUGUGAACUGAUCGCUGAUUAAAAUAUGGCAAACAAAAUAAAACAAAAACAUCUUGUGGAUUUUAGUUUGAAUUAAAAAUAAUUUGACAUGAAGUCGUCCUCAGUUCACCACAUCACCAUCAUUUAAUAUUUGAGUGAGUUCAUAACGAGGCAGGAAACACAGACUUCCUGCUCUCAGGUAGAGCAGGUAUUUCAAAAUAAAGUACGAGUGUUCAGAUGAAUAAUUCAUCCAUCAGGGAGAGGAGGAGGAGGGGGCGAAGAGUUACGAGGGGUUGGAGAGGAACACGGACAGAUUCAUUACACCGUGAUGAUUUCUGCUCUCACAUCAGGAAAACAGCCAAAGAACAUAGUUUGAAGUGUUUUUCUUUUCUUUGGACAGUCGGAGCUCUGUCCUCACUCUGAGUCCUCUUAUUAAAACUGAGGGAAUUCAAAGCCUCUCAACCCGUUUGUUAAAUCUCUCGGGGGUGGGUGGGGUCGUCACAAAUAAAAAUAGAAGGACGGGAUUUUUUUACGAGAAGUCUCAGUAUCAGAGUGAACAGAUGAGCUCAUUAGGACGAGAUCCUGGAGGAUAAGUUUAGAGAUUAAAACUUGAGCCGGUGCUUCAGUUGUUUGGGGAAGAGUCUCAGCGGUCCUCACUAAUGGACCCCUCCCUCUGUCACUGUUAUCAGGAAAUCAGUUUCUCUGGUUGGUUUCUAUUAAAAACUCAAAGAGAGCCCAGGCUUAUCUGGACACAAAUAACAUGAUUCAAAGACUAAUUAUAUCCUCGGAUUUCUCGUCAGCUC